rnacentral:rRNA from 1 species
GAGUUUGAUCAUGGCUCAGAACGUACGCUGGCGGCACGCCUAACACAUGCAAGUCGAACGAAGUAGCAAUACUUAGUGGCAGACGGGUGAGUAACAUGUGGGUAUCUUCCCUUUGGCCUGGAAUAACACGAGGAAACUUGUGCUAAUACCGGAUAAGUCUUUACGGAGAAAGCUUUAUGCACCAUUGGAUGAGCCUGCACUUGAUUAGUUUGUUGGUGGGGUAAUGGCCUACCAAGACUGUGAUCAAUAGCUGAUUUGAGAGGAUGAUCAGCCACAUUGGGACUGAGACACGGCCCAAACUCCUACGGGAGGCAGCAGUGGGGAAUCUUGCACAAUGGAGGAAACUCUGAUGCAGCGAUGCCGCGUGAGUGAAGAAGGCCUUUGGGUUGUAAAGCUCUUUCGUCGGGGAAGAAAAUGACUGUACCCGAAUAAGAAGGUCCGGCUAACUUCGUGCCAGCAGCCGCGGUAAUACGAAGGGACCUAGCGUAGUUCGGAAUUACUGGGCUUAAAGAGUUCGUAGGUGGUUGAAAAAGUUGGUGGUGAAAUCCCAGAGCUUAACUCUGGAACUGCCAUCAAAACUUUUCAGCUAGAGUUUGAUAGAGGAAAGCAGAAUUUCUAGUGUAGAGGUGAAAUUCGUAGAUAUUAGAAAGAAUACCAAUUGCGAAGGCAGCUUUCUGGAUCAUUACUGACACUGAGGAACGAAAGCAUGGGUAGCGAAGAGGAUUAGAUACCCUCGUAGUCCAUGCCGUAAACGAUGUGUGUUAGACGUUGGAAAUUUAUUUUCAGUGUCGCAGCGAAAGCGAUAAACACACCGCCUGGGGAGUACGACCGCAAGGUUAAAACUCAAAUGAAUUGACGGGGACCCGCACAAGUAGUGGAGCAUGUGGUUUAAUUCGAAGAUACGCGCAGAACCUUACCAACACUUGACAUGUUCGUCGCGACUUUAAGAGAUUAAAGUUUUCGGUUCGGCCGGACGAAACACAGGUGCUGCAUGGCUGUCGUCAGCUUGUGUCGUGAGAUGUUGGGUUAAGUCCCGCAACGAGCGCAACCCUCACUUUUAGUUGCCAUCAUUUAGUUGGGCACUCUGAAAGAACUGCCAGUGAUAAGCUGGAGGAAGGUGGGGAUGACGUCAAGUCCUCAUGGCCCUUACGUGUUGGGCUACACACGUGCUACAAUGGUAUCUACAACAGGAAGCAAAACGGCGACGUUGAGCAAAUCCUCAAAAGAUACCUCAGUUCGGAUUGCACUCUGCAACUCGAGUGCAUGAAGCUGGAAUUACUAGUAAUCGUGGAUCAGCGUGCCACGGUGAAUGCGUUCCCGGGUCUUGUACACACCGCCCGUCACACCAUGGGAGUUGGUUCUACCUUAAGGCAAGGUUUAAAAUCCUUGACCACGGUAUAGUCAGCGACUGGGGUGAAGUCGUAACAAGGUAACC